rnacentral:sRNA from 1 species
CCAUGCCAGGAACGUCAGGACUGAUGGUCAAUGGAAUAGUGAAAACAGUCAUCAAGGUUCUAUUUAAAUAUCCUUUUAUGCCCUCUAUCUAGGUAUGUUGCGCGGGCUCUUCAAAGCAAGUAAAUGCCUGCUUUGUGUGAAGUUGAGUUGUCAACAAAUGGCAAAACAAUGAUUGUUGUGCACACAGCAUCAAGUCCCGACGACUCCCAUAGACCACUUUUGAUAUUCCAGAAUACAGAUUGGUUUUCAAGCGCCAAAUUUUAGCCCUGUCGAGGAUUCUUUGUCAAACUGCUACACCAAUUGAAGAGAAAAGGAAAACAGCCACCUUGAAUUUCAAGGAAAAAUCUAUACAAAGGUCUCCAAGAGAGGCCUCAUUAAUUGCUUCUUAACGGUUGCCGAUUUGAUGUCCCUUGACAAUUAGGGACCUUGGAAUCUGAAUAGUUCUGAGGAAGAUUCAAGGUUCAAGGAGCCCGCUAACAACAGG